AAGAUCAUACUUCACAGGAUCAUUUCUGUAGUAUAUCUUCGGAUCUGCUAUGCGAAAAGCUGAGCUGAUGCAGCCACGUUGAUGAGACAUAGCUCUCUUCCUUGAGCGUGAGGCCGAUCUUUAUAAUCUGAUUUAAUAGUUAGAUUGUAAGGUCAUCGAUGAUCGUUCACCUCUUUUACUUAGUAAGGGAGGUCAUGGGAAGUAGAGCUUUCUGAGUGGU